UACGUAGGGUGCGAGCGUUAAUCGGAAUUACUGGGCGUAAAGCGUGCGCAGGCGGUUUUGUAAGUCAGAUGUGAAAGCCCCGGGCUUAACUUGGGAAUGGCAUUUGGGACUGCAAGGCUUGAGUGCGGCAGAGGAGACUGGAAUUCCUGGUGUAGCAGUGAAAUGCGUAGAUAUCAGGAGGAAUACCGAUGGCGAAGGCAGGUCUCUGGGCAUGAUCUGACGCUGAGGAGCGAAAGUGUGGGGAGCGAACAGG
rnacentral:rRNA from 1 species